GCCGGUCAACCCGGACACGUCGCUGAAGGUUGUCUGCAUCUCAGACGGGCAUCCUGAGAGGACAGUCCGCAUAGGCGCCCAACUAGAUCCAAAAGUGGAGGCAGAACUCACUCAAUUCCUACGUGAUAACGCCGCCGUUUUUGCAUGGUCCUAUGCAGACAUGCCAGGCAUCUCAACUGAAAUUAUCACCCAUAAGCUAACCAUCAAACCUUCCUUCUAUCCCAUCAAGCAGAAGCGGAGGGCUUUUGAUGAGGAAAAAUACCGGGCAAUCGGACAGGAGGUCGCCAAACUACGGG
rnacentral:lncRNA from 1 species